UGGGGAAUCUUGGACAAUGGGCGCAAGCCUGAUCCAGCCAUGCCGCGUGAGUGAGGAAGGCCUUAGGGUUGUAAAACUCUUUCGUCGGGGACGAUAAUGACGGUACCCGAAGAAGAAGCUCCGGCUAACUUCGUGCCAGCAGCCGCGGUAAUACGAAGGGAGCUAGCGUUGUUCGGAAUCACUGGGCGUAAAGCGCACGUAGGCGGAUAGUUAAGUCAGGGGUGAAAUCCUGGGGCUCAACCCCAGAACUGCCUUUGAUACUGGCUGUCUCGAGGUCGAGAGUGGUUGGUGGAAUUCCUAGUGUAGAGGUGAAAUUCGUAGAUAUUAGGAAGAACACCAGUGGCGAAGGCGGCCAACUGGCUCGAUACUGACGCUGAGGUGCGAAAGCGUGGGGAGCAAACAGGAUUAGAUACCCCAGUAGUCCCUGAGCGGGCUGGCAAGGCGCAU
rnacentral:rRNA from 1 species